UGCAGAAUCCCGUGAACCAUCGAGUCUUUGAACGCAAGUUGCGCCCGAAGCCAAUAGGCUGAGGGCACGUCUGCCUGGGCGUCACGC
rnacentral:rRNA from 1 species